rnacentral:misc_RNA from 1 species
GAUGAAGAACGCAGUGAAAUGCGCUAAGUAAUGUGAAUUGCAGAAUUCAGUGAAUCAUCGAAUCUUUGAACGCACAUUGCGCCCCUUGGUAUUCCGAGGGGCAUGCCUGUUCGAGCGUCAUUAUAACCCCUCAAGCUCAGCUUGGUGUUGGGGCCUGCUGCACUGGCAGCCCUUAAAAUCAGUGGCGGCGCCAUCUGGCUCUAAGCGUAGUAAUUCUUCUCGCUAUGGAGUCCUGGUGGAUGCUUGCCAUCAACCCCCAAUUUUUCUAUGGUUGACCUCGGAUCAGGUAGGGAUACCCGCUGAACUUAAGCAUAUCAAUAAGCGGAGGA